UCUCCUUCUGUUUUGCAGGCUGUUUUUGAGGCACAAAAGAUUCUGCUGAGGAGGGGAUCUGACCCAACAUGUGAAGAGCAGUGUGCACUUACUGACCAUCACCCAGAGCACCGAGCUGCUGCCCUGCCUGGUGUGACCUGCAGGACACAGACACGCAGUGGUGCAGAAUGACAGUGCUGCUUGCUUUGUCACCAGAAUCGAGCCUUGCUAUGGACUUAUUUAUGGUGGAAAAAUUAUAUUUGAGAAUUGCUUCACCAACCUCUGACACGCAGCCGCUGCUGGGGUGGGAACCAUGAAGGGUCCGUAGGUUUCCCUAUCCCUUACAGGUGCUGUGAUCCCAAACAUCUUUCAUCAGUGCCCUGGUGACGGGAUUAGUGUGUAUUAAGAGUUUCUCUUCUCAUCUCUCCCAGGGAGGAUCAAAUGCAGUGAAAUAUCCCAUUUUGCUGGUUGCUUUUUGAAAAAUGCGUGGUAUGUGUUUAUGUUAGGAAUGUAAGGUCAAAGGAGCAGGAGCACAGGACACGGGGCCGCAUAAACCCUUUUAGGACAUUGGGUUCGGUCCACGCAUUGUAGUCCUGUUUGCAAAACUGUUUUAAAAGAAAUGUGUUUGUUUACCCUCAGCACAUGUGCCACAAAGGCUCCUCUUGAAUCACCAGUGUUUUCUGGGAAGAAACAUGGAAGGAAAACUGUGGGUUUCGUGGUUCCUUGUCCCUUAGUGAAAGACCAGCCCCUGUACCAACGCCCCAGGAGCACCAUGUCCUGCACUUGUGAGCAUUCUCCUCUCUGGGGAAGUUUCCACUCUACCCAAGGAACACAGAACUAUUGAUGAGGUUUAUCCCAUUGCUUUACGUUGGCUGGUUAGGUCUAGAGAAUGUGGCUUUGAUUUUGAAAGUUGUUUUGCCAGAAAUCAGCACUGAGCAGAGGACCAACACUGUAGAUUGCAUUAAGGGAUGAGUAAGAGGGGAUGCUGAGGAAAUUGCAUCCAGCUGAAAUAAGUUAUUGGAGCAGGUGAGUUUAAAAACUAAAAGUCAUUUAGGCUGCAUGAAAAUAUGAAGCACAUGGACACUGAAGCAGGUGGACACUUCAGCAGUGACCACCAAGUCAGCCAGGUCACUCACCUGCCAUAUGGUUUGAAGCAGGUCCCGCACUGAAUGGUGCAAAUAGCAAGGCCACAAACCCUCUCAGGAAACAGAUUGACAAAGACAGGGGUUAUUUAACAAGCGGUGGGGAGAAAUCAGUGAUAGAGCUACUUGUUUGCAGCAGCAGACUGCUAAAAGACAAGCUACUUGUUCCUUUUCAAAGGCCUUGGGGAAAAAAAAGGGCCAUCAUUUCCAGGCAGGAAUUCUUCUGAGGAGAAUAUUUUUGUGCCUGGCUGAGAAGAGAUGAAAAGGUCAAAGAAAAUUAAAUUCACAUGCUCAGAACAUUUUGGGGCAGGUGUUUUUCCUAAGCCAAAUUUCAGGCUUGGGAAGGCGUACCCAGGAUUUAUGCCCCUCCUAACAUUUCACCUGUUGCACGAGCACUGGAGGGCAAAGGAUUUCACAGCCCUGGCAGCCUGGCUUCUCUGGACCCAACUCAAUAACUUUGCUUCGAGCUCAUUGCAAUUUGUACAGCUCGAAUGAAGGCUCAGAUGAGCACUCCGGUCUGGCUGCUCAUCACUGCAUUUCACUUGGCAUGUAGGCUACGGAUGAGGAAUGCACAGAAUUUCCUUUUCCACCCCGUCAGAUCCUCUGUCUUGAGCCUGGCCCAGCCCCAAGAGCACAACGGAUGCAGCUGGAGAAGGGCAGGUCCAAUCUUGCUGCUCAGCUCCAGUGACACUUAACCUCCUCUGCUGCUGAGCUGCUUGCAGCUGGCAGUGGAUGCUAAUGAGCAUCAGCCUACUGAAAUGGCUCAUCAGGGAAGGAAGGGGAGAUGAUUUCUUUGACUGGAGAAGGUAAUAGAAGCUGGAGCUUUAAUGGGAGAAGAUGACCCUCAAUCUCCGUGAAGGUGGUCUUUGGUUUUGCAGCUCAGAUUUUCUAUUGCUGUUGAUCUGCAUGAGAAGGGAUCAGUGUCCUGCUACUUGUCUGCAGCAGCUGCCUCAUAUCUGCUACCUUAUGGAUCCCUUCCAACUCAGGAUAUCCUAUGAUUCCUCCUUCAUCAUCCUUCUGCUGAACCUGGGACCUCCACAGCGAGCAGCUAAAGGUAUUCUGUGUCUACACCAGGGAGAAGAGAGAAGCUCUCUGUGAGGCCUGGAAGUAUGAUGCAUGCUUAUGAGCAGGCUCUAGGCACAUACAAUGUACUCAUUAAAUGCCAGCAGGAGGGAUUCUAGCCCCAAAAACCACUGCAAGAGCUGCAUGACCCCUCAUCCCCAGGCAGAAGUGGGAGGACGCCUCCAUCUUGUAAUCUGCAUCUGUCAAAGAAGUGCUCUCCUCAUUUUCUGCCAGUUUGGGAAGGGUUAACGAGGGAAGCACAGCCCCCAGGGGCCAGCACUGUUGUUCCAUGCAGAUUGGCUUGUUCUUGUUUCUUCCAUCGAUCGCAAUCACUCAGAGCUGUGCCUGUAACAAACUGCCUUAAAUCAUUGCAAUCAUAAUAAGCACACCUUGGUAAAUAAUGCAUGAGGUAUCCAUAAGCCUAUAUUCAUUAGGAGGAAGGCAUGGUAAUCAUCUGGGCUCAAAGAGGGGCUUGGCUGAUGGGGCUGAGCUGGGUUUGGGGCAGGCUCCCCAGCCUCUCCAGAUGUUGGAAACGUAGGCAGGUUCCUUGUCACCUUCAUGAAUUUUGCACGAGAUGUUUAAAAGGCCUCUAAGGUUCACAACGUAAUACAGGUUGGGUGGAAGUGGGCUUGUGGCGAGUCUCCAAAUGGUAUAAUAGCAAGGCAUCACAAUUAAUCGUGUUUAAUAUGUUUUAAUGACUCAAAGCACGUAGUGCGUUAACAAGUUGUGCUGUAGGAGCCUCGUAACCAAGUUAAUGGUCUGGAUAUUAGAAGCCAUUGUUUUAAAACAAAUAAAAAAUGCUUUGUUUUCCCUUUGUCUUGAGGAGCAGAGUGGCGUUGCAGCAUGGAGCCCUUUUAGGGCAGUUCCAUUGGGCGUUAGUGCCAUCCUGGUGCUGUGGCCUUCACUGCAAGGUUUUCAGGACAGACUGCAAAGGAAAUUAGGCAGAAAUUUCCCCCUUUACUUUUUUGUUGUUGUUUGUGUGUGAAAUGACAGCAAUAAGGACAGUUUUCUUUUGUACGGUUAGAAGGGAUGGAGCUGCAGCAGAAGCAUUCCUGCUCAUAUCAGACAGCUGUGGAUGGCAAUGGGUCAUUUCACUCCAUUAUGGUUUCUGGCAAGUGAGUAUUAAAGGGUGUGUGAGGGCAUCGUUUCUCAGCGAUGACUUCAUUUGGCUGUCUAAACAAACAGCCGUUCCUCACCAGGUGCAAAGGGCCUUCUAUUUGUUUUUUAACUCCGUGAAGGGGAAAAAAAAUACCUAAAGGGAAAAUAGCAGAUCCUGUCUGUUUGACAGCCACGGUGGUCUCUGCCUCCUCAGAAAACAGCAGCAAUGAGCACUGCGGGGACAACUCGCUCCUUGUUCAGUUCCAGUGGAUGUCUUCGUUGCCAGGUUCUAGCUGCAUCAUCUGUCACAGUGAGAAGCAAAAUGACGAAGAGAGAAAAGAUCAGUAAAUUUUAAACUGGAGAAGAAAGACCAUUCAACCCAAGCAGCAGCAGAUAAAUAGGGAAUCAUUACCUUCACUGCCCUCAUCUUCACACCAAGCUGCUUCAAGUGCCACUUGGCUGGGUGAUGUCACGAGAGAUGUGGCCAUGUGAAACCAUGAGUCCUGUCCCCAUCCCCUGGAAGUGGAACCCCUGUGCUGGGGUUUGCUGGGACUGGGUGUGAUGUGGUGUGAUGGGGAAGCAGCCCCUGGUUGUGCUGCUCAGAGCCCAUCAGAUUCGCUCCGAGCCAGGAGUUGAGCCAAAGCCUUCAAAGGUGAAAGGCUGAUCCACUUGCCACCCCCACCCGUGCUGCUGAGUCCCUCUGCUUUGUGAAGGAGAUGCUGAAUUUGGGGAAAUCACUCCUGCAACCCAUAAAUGAAUGCAUUGUGAAAGCCCCGCUCACAAACGCACUGCAAAGAAAGCCCAGCAAGGUUGCAGACAAAAGGCAAGGACAAUCAACUGAAAGACUCCCUGGCUUCAAUUAUGGUGUGUGGAAUUUAAUUCCAGUGAGUUUGGUGGGGUUUCCCUACCCCCACAGCCAAUCAGCCCCAGGGAAGGGCCAGCUCUCAGAUAGGCUUCUCAGAGGGCUCAGGACAGCCCGCAGAGGUAUUAGGCUCCUAAGAGGUUUCUUAUGCACAGAAAGUCCUGUAGAUACCAAAAGCUUGUGCAGAUUACUUCUGGGUGAAGCCGUAAAGCUGGAAGUGAAAGGAGCUGGGAUUCUUGAGGCUUGGAAAUCCAGGCUGCAGAGAAGAGAGGAGGGAGGGUUAAAGCCCGUAAAUAGUUCAGAGCUAAUGAAAUGGCUGGGUGUGGGGAAAAGGGGAGAAUAGCUCCUUUUUUGAAAGCAGAUGAGGCAAGCAUGCCUCCCAACAUACUUUGUGCUCAUAAAACCCAGUCUGGGUUUCUAGGUAACUAAUGGAGAUACCCUGGGGAGAAGUUUCUAAGGGUUUCUCACAGUUUCUAGAUUUGAACACCAAUGCUGAAUAUUGGCUGUGGUUAUUAUGAUCCAGACUGACCUCCUGGCUAUCCCUGUUAAAUCCCAAGUCUUUGCAUCCAAGUACUGUCCUAGGGCUGUUCAUCCUUCUGUGGAACUCGUCUCCAUUUUGUGUCUUUUUUAUCCGCUAAGCCUCGGUAUGAACAGGCAUUGCACUGAAAUCAGUCUGGAUGAACAUUGGUUCUGUUUGUGGCUUUUUCCAUGCUGGCUCCCUUGUUUUUGCUGAGCUUCAGACUAGUUAAUCCAGUGUGUAAAUGGGAAUCGAGUACAUUUCUGCCACCCAAAACACCAGAAGGCUAAAAGUCGAAUCUUAAAUUCAGGAAAUCCUGGCAUGGCAAAAUGGGGAAUCCAGCUGGGAUUUGUGCACAAAGCCUACUUAAAUUCCAGUUACAAAUUUUGUGUUGGUCACUGCUGUUAAAAAAGCAUCUAUAGGGCCAAUAAAGAGCCAGCAGACCAUUCCUGCAAUGGAACAAAUGGAUGUCAGGAUAGAGAAGAUUCAGAUCCUUCUGCUUGCAGCCAGUGCUCUGGUGAGCAGGCGGGGAUGCUGAAAGGACAAUGGCAUGGAGGUAAUUUACUGCUAUGAUUGAAUUUAAUAUUGCUAGCGUAUCCGUGCAAAGUGGUGGCCACACACACAAGGAUGCAGGACCCUUUCCCCACACAGACGGGGGGUGAAGGGUAAAUGCAGAGGAAAUAAACAGCACACACUGCUUCCAGAGGUCAGUCCUGCACAGAUGAGUGCAGGCUGCCACUGUGCUUGCAGAGCAGAAGGAGCUAUAGGUAAGGGAGAGGACUAUUUGUUCUGUAUGUCCCUACAGCCAUUGUUUUAUCUUCAGAUCUGUUUGAUUCCCCUACUAUACAGUCUCUGGGAGGGCAUACAAAUUGAAAGCUAAUUAUGCAACUUGAUACUAUCAGUUGACAGCUGCCUAUCUCUGCCCACAUAUCCUGAGCGAAGGAAACCACCUCCAUACCUGAUUUGCAGCCUAUGGAAAAGCCAAGGUGAGCUGGCUGGGAGGGUCAGAACACUCAUACUGUGGCAAUCUUGUGUGGUUUCCUUUCUUGCAUUCACAAUGUGUGGUAGGAGCAGAAGGGUAUUUCUUCAGCUUGAUUGGGAAGAGCAUCCGAAUUACCAUCUCUUCCAUGUAGCUGAAGAGUUCUGACGGGUGGGAAAUGCCCAGGUUUUCUUUCAGUUGGCAAAUUCUGUGUUCUCAGUGAUAUCCUGAUAUCUGCGCCAAUCUCUGCAGCUUUCACAUACCUCCUGCCCAGAGCUCGAUCCAACCCAUUGCAUUUCAGAUUACGUAGAGAACUUCUCUGUUGGCAAACUCAGCCUAAUAAAAAGGUUUGAAGGAUAUUCCUGUACUUCCCAAGAACACGCAGCUUUUGAAUUGCUAUUUCCCCUGGUAUUAGGAGUUCUGGAAGCUGAAGCCAGCCAGGUGAUCAGUAUCUCUAACCACAUCAUGAGGGCUCCUCUUGGGAAAAUGCAUCUGUAUAACAAGUUGUUCUAGGUGCGUGAAUGAAGUGUUGAAAAUCAGCUGAGGGGCAGAACAUAUGGGGAAGGUACAUCUCUGGAUGUGCUGAAAUGUUAUCUCCAAAUUGCUUGUUAAAACUUCAUUUUAGUGUCCUGAUUCAGAUCCUGUUUAUUCACGUGCAGUCAGGAGUGAUUUCCCCUGAAGAAAAGAAAUACCCUGCAUCUUGAAGCACUCUUUGGUUUGGAGCACAAAACAAUUUCCACUUAACCUCAUUAGAAGCCCUAUUUGAGGGGAAUUCUCUGUCAAUAUUGAGUAUAAUCACCUUUGGCCCAUGCGUCCUUUCCUCUACCUGGCUUUGACCAUCAGCCCCGUGUCUGUUAUUUUUGGGAUCCAGUAGUGCUGCUUUGGCAGGUUGUUGAGGCAGUUCUCAAGUAGUCAUUCAAAUGCUGUUCAAAACCCUCAUCUAAUAAGCUAGAAGCACAGCAGCUUCCAGAGCUGCACUCUAUUCCAGCAGCUCUCCUUGCCAGCUAGAAAUUACGCUAUUUUCCAAUUUCAUUAUUACCUCUGUUUUUUAUUACAGCAUCAUUAGAGUGAGAAAACUGGAAAGGAAGUGGGGAUUGUAUAAUGCAGGAAAUAGUGAAUUAAUACCUCUACCAUAUGAUGGAAUGGUGCAGAGCUGUGACAGUGUCAGGGAAAUAUAGAGCAAGUAAAGACUGUGCUGGCUGGAUGAGGGUGAGACUUCUCUGUUUGCUCACAGAGGAGUAUUUGCUCACAGAAAUAGCUAUUCCUCAGAAAUGCGAGAUUUGCAUUUUCUUUCUGCAUGUGCACGUUGCAAAUAAGGCCAUCGUGAGGACAUGGAAUGUGGAAAAAAUAGCUUUUAUUGCAAAUAGAUGGGCUGCGGUGUGUUGGCAAAAGAAGGCUGAUUUAUUGCCUGAGAAACAGUGUCAGAGCAUUUUAAGGAAGGGGCUAUGUAUGAUGAUAACAAAGAAUUGUCUAUUCCUUACUGUGUGGCUCUACAGUGCUAAGCCCUGAGAAGUGUUUAUUAGCUCUCGAGCAUUUAUAACUACCAGCUUCAGCAGGCUGCAGUGAAUGGGAAAGCGCAGCUCCCACAGCCAGCAGAGUGAAGGGGUGUGUCUUUCAUUCUGAAAGGGUGGGCAGCAUUGAAGAGAGAAAAAAGCGCCGGUUUUGCUCCUUUUCUUCUUUUCCUAUGACGUCUAUAUAUUCAGGCUCCCUGUCCUUACAGUGACACACAGAUCAGACCCAGUUAGUUACUGUGCACCCCGGAAUUUGGGACGAAGGACAGAAAUAGGGUACUCCUAGCUCACGAUUUCUACAGCUUCUUGGAUAAAAGCCUCUGUGAAAUGCGUCUCCUAAAAACCCAUUUUGUUUGUAGUAACACCAGAAAGUAAUUAAAUGCUGGUAUGUAUCAUUUUUAUUUUGACGCUGCCUUCUGAGAUGCUAAGCGAUUCGUUAGCUUAAACAACUCGGAGCACAAUCUGCAUGUGUCUGUUGUGCAGUUGUCAGAUGGCAACAAAUGUGCUUUUAAUCACAGCUUGUUACUCAGAUCGCUGGGUUGCGAAGGGAUGCAGCUUUUGGAAGCGACUUCUUCUAUAUGUCUUCUGAUCAUCUUGCUUGCCUGACAGUGCUGCCAUAAAGAUGCUUCAGAGGAGCUGCAGGGUUGUAAGAGGGGAAAACAAAAGUAUCCCAGGGUGAACCGAAAGCAACAACGGGCACAGGACUCUGAAUUUUCAAGCAUCAAAUCCAGAUUAUCCAUUUCUAGAACUUCUCAAAGCUUUAAACUCUUUACAGCCUGUUGAGAGCAGAAUGAUCUCUGACUUCCUGAGAGGAGGCCAGCGCUGGGGUGGAAGGAUGCAGCUGCUCCGCCAGCACUGAGCGCUUCGAUGGGAUGUGAGGAAUCCUUUUGCAUCCCUGAAACCAAACCAGUCCCUCCUGCAUCCCUAAAACCACACAGGAGAGGGGAAGGGAAAUGCAUUUAUCUGCCACAAGCCACCAGCAGUUGUUCUGUGCCAUCCCACUGCGGAUUCUGGCUGGGUUGACCCCCAGCAGGGCUUUGGAGGGCUGAGAUUUGCAAAGGCAAAUUAUGGGAUGUGAAAUAAAAUGCCAGGCGAUGGAUGAGAAACAUACAUUUAUUGAGGUGUAACAGUCAAUUGCGUGGCUGUUAAAGAGGUGUAACUGUGUAUUAAAUAAUCAGUUCAGCUGGAAUUUGUUUAAUAUAAUCACAGCCUAUUAAACCUGAAUUAAGUACAGAGUUAAGUGUCUCUGGGACACAGCUGAAAACACUGCCAGGAACAUUUUAUGUUGCCUGAAGCCCUUUGAGGAAAACUCCCACAAACACAGUCUCUGUGAAACUGCCCUUCAUUUGAUGCAGGAAACACAAUAUGGGAUUUUUGUUUUUUGUCUGAACUGUGGUUAUCGAGCAAGUUUUGCCUAAUCCGAGACUUAGUGUAGAUGCAAAAAUACCUGACUGAUUUUCUGGAAUGCCUCCUUUGUAGAUUUUGUAUGGCCUUUUGUGGUUCACUUGCACAUCUUUGCUCCCCUGCUCCAUGUGCAGCCAUUCACAGCAUCGCAAAGUGAGUCCAAAGUAAAUGUGAAAUGCUGCAAAGUCAGCACAGAUCUGCUCUGAGCUGGCUGGGCUCACAAGCAGGGGAUGUGAACAAGGAGAAACUCUUUGGCUUUGGAAAUGUGAGGUUGGAGGACCCCCACGGCUGCCCAAUGCUCAGCUCCCACCGCCUUCUCGCUCUGUUUCCAGCAACACGGUGGUUUGUGCCCCGGUCCCUGGACUAUGGGUUUGCAACCUGAGCGCCUCUGUGUAAGGAAUGCAGCAGCCACAAUCCUGUUCCCCUCCCUCCUGCUAAUUAGCCCACGUUUAACACCCAGACAAAACUGCACCUGCACUGCCCUGGGAAGCACAAUGCUGGGGCAGCAACAAAGCGGUGUGUUGUGGACCCUGAAAGCCCUGAGCUCCAUUGCACGCAGCACUUUGAAAAAGCAUGAUAAAAAAAGGAGGAGGAGAUUCUCUUGCUCCUACUUUUCACUACUGGAGAGAAUGGGUGAAAGCCCACAAAAGCGGCUUAAUAAAGAGGAGAGGGAGAACAAGGCGAGGGGAAGUGAGGGCAGGCUGAAAGGAAGGAGGACUUUCCAGGUUGCAUUGUCCUCUUUGCCUUCCAGAGAUCCUGAGUCAAUGUCUCAAAAGCCGUCGAUGACAUCAAGUUGAUUGGUUUUGCUGCAGCCCUUGAAAGCAGUGGUGGGGAAUCGAUGCAGCCCAGGAUCUGCUUUUAGGAGGACAAAAUGAGCCUUAUUCAUGGCCACGACAAAGGGUCCUGGGCCCCUUCACCUGUUUCUUCCCUUUGGAGGAAUGGUGCAAUGCAUUUUCUUCGGUCUCUUUGGCCAGAUUCUUCCCAGAAAUCGUUGCUAUUCAGCAGUAGGUGAAGGUUUCCUUUUUGAAAUCUUUAAUGAAAACAGUAUAAAUAAUGUUCUAUCUUCCACCCAAGACGGACAGAAUUAUUCCUUCUCCCACCUACACAGAUGGAAGGAAUGGUUAUGUAUGGAUUGUGUUUUCCUACAGCCAGGCUGGAUGACAAUCUGGUUGACUUCUAGGACACAGCUUUUCGAAGAUGCUGCUUCUUCAGCAGCUGCAAUGCCCACGCUGGUGGGAUGGCUGGCACGUGGGAGUAAAUGCUUAAUUAGGAGAUUUCUCACAGAGGCAGUGGGACAAGGCCUCAUUAGAAGCUCCAGGCAUAAUGUGGUUGAUCUCAAAACACGAACAGAAUACUUUCAGGCUUAAAUAGCAGAGUGAUCACAUCAGUCCCUGCUAGAAUCCCUAGGUGUCUAAGGCACUGGACAUAAAUUAGUAUCAUCAGUUCAAACACCUUGAAAAUUGGAAAUAAAUUAUGCCAGACACUGGAGACAGAUGGCAUCCAUACACCAGGCAGAGCCAAAAAGCCCAGCGCUUUGGACAUCUGUAGAUAAAUUCCCUGAAGCACCUGGAGCAGCAGAGAAGAGAGGAGAAAGUGAUUUGUGCCUGAGAAUGGAUGGUUUUUUUGGAAGUAUCACUUCAGCUUCAUCCAGAGCACAAGCAGCAAAGAGAGAAACUCAUUCACUAACCCAGUCUUCUGCUGUGUCCUCCUAUAGGGAUAUAAAUAUGGCUGAAAAAUGUCUGCACUGUUUAUUGCUUUGAAGUCAAAUGUGCACCAGCUAUUUUCAGAAACAUGGGAGAAGUAAUGCCUUCUGGCUGGCUCUGAGCUGCUAGGUCGUCUGAAUAAUUUCCCUUUCCCUGUCCCCCUGCUUUUAUAUACACAUGGAAAGGCAGACAUGGAUAUUUUAAUGUAUGUAUUAAAAGUAGACCAAAAGUUAGCGUGCUGUUUGGAGAUGUGUGGCAUAGAAAUAAAUCGCAGAGGAGAGCAGGGAAGGAAUGUGUGCUGCUCCCUGGCAGCCUUGGCUCGCUUGGGGCUGCACAGCAGAGCAAAGCACAGCUCCUGCCUCACAGCCUCAGUACGAAUACAUCAAGCUCUUUUGUUUCCCACGUGUAGGGUCAGUGUUAUUUGCUUUCUGACCGAUGCGACUGCAUCAAGCAAACCAAAAAUGCCCUUGAAAAGCUGAUCCAGCUCUAACCAGUCAGCGAGAUACGGGACUUGGGAGGUAGCAGAAGGCUGCAGGACCGAUCCUCAGCCUGAUGCCACCAAGAACAAAUGAGAUCUGCACGACAGCACCCCACGUUUCCCAAAGCUCAGAAAACACGAAGGAACUUGAGACAAAGCUGAUGGCAUAGCCCAAACACCAGAACAGCUAUGGACAGAGUUCCCUAAGAAUGCAGCCAGCUUGUAAUACUCGUAGUUAUCCAUGGCUUUCCAGCCAUACAAUGGACAGACAACUACAUGACAACUCUGCGCUGUCUCCUGAGGGUUCUGUGUGCACCAAUAGAGAGACAGAACUCUAACAAAGAGAAUGGCAGUGCUGGAGGUUGUCUUAAUUGAGUGCUAAUGGGUCCCAACCGGGAGACAGGCUCAGCUGGGUGCCAUUUGCUCUAAUUGAUAAGAAGCCCUGAUUGGGUCCUUGGAGGGUGCUGGUUCCUCACUGAACUUACUAAAGGGAAGCUGGAAAAGGAAAUCCCUGUUGCUUAAAAGGGAGAAGUUUUAGUUAUGGAUUUUCUGCUGCAAAGCAAGUGGAAAGGUUUUAAAAGAAAAAAAAAAAAGCACCUACAAUGGAGCUGAGAAUGGGAGAGUAGUGGAUCAAAUGAAGUUGCUUUGAAGAAAUGAUUUCAACGUGGAAGGAAGUUGUUCAGUGCAGGUAGGAGAAGGAUCUUUGGUAGGGGUUGCUGGCAGCUACGAUAAAUGAGAGCUGUAGUUCUGCUCCUGCUGUGCUGCUUGGGUAGUGAGUGAGCUGGGAGAUGGGGAGGCUGCAAGAGGUGGGAAGGUACUGCUGUUGCCCUGCUCCUUCCUUGCUUGCAGCUGCAGAGCUGCCUGCACGGCUUGCAGGAAUGCCGUGUGCUGGAAGGAAGAGACUUUGGAGCUUCCCAUUGAGGUGUGGCUCAUCAGUAUCUUAAGGUGAGGAUGCUUACUUGAGCUUGGGUAGCUCUAGUUGCUGCUAUGUGAACAGUGGUGUAGAGCUCUGUGUUGGUGCUGCAUGGAGGACUGGGGUUAGUAGGAGAGAGCUUUCUUCAGGGUGGCCCUGAGUGUGCUGGCAGUGCUGAUAUGAGUGACAGUCUUCAGCUUAUAGAUGAGAUGGUUUCUGUCCUCUUGGAGCGUGCUUGUUGCAGCCCUUGCUCACAGCAGGGAUAGAUGGGCCCAAAGGAAAUAGGAUCUUCUGCUUGUUCCUGAGUCUGCCAGAGUUAACCCUGUGCAAGUAAAAAGGAAGCUGAGUUACAGAGAGGUCAUGCCUCAAAUGAGGUCUAGCAAACCUAAAUUUAUCCUGUCCUCUGACAGAAAUUAGACUGGAACGAUGCAAAUGGUGGAGGCUGUUGUUUAUUUUGCUUCUGUGAUGCUGAAAAAUCCUGGAUGUUUUCCUUUUUUGGCCAAACUGACCCACGGUGCCUGACUCUAUACCUUCAGUGUCUCAGCUGGAGCCCUUCAAGUCUUUCCCACCAAUAGUUUCCUUUCCUGCAGGAGGGAGUUCAGCAGGCAUUAUACAGCCUUGCUGUGAUGCCAGGCACUGGCAAUAGCCUUGUUACUGAGGAUCCCUCUUCCUUUCCCUUUUUCCUGCUAGAACCAUGAAGCACUUGCAGCUGUGAAGGCAGCUUCUGAGCAUGGCUUACCUGCUUGAUGCAACUCGAAGGAGCUCCUUAGAAAGCCCCUGUAAAAGUAUCCAAGGGAUGGGUGGGUAUUUUGUUAGGGUGAAUAUCUUUGCCUCUGAUGCAUUUUUUUGGUCAUGUCUUUGAGCUAUAACUGGUAACAAGUGUUGUUUUUCUUUCUUUAAUCGCAACCUUAGAUGGUCAACAGCAGAUGCUCUGGGGGAAGGGGUGAGGGAGCAAGCAAGGGAUGACCCUUGUGCUGGUCUCUCAGAUGCAGCUACCAAACAAGACUGCCAUAACCAUAUGAAUUCUGUGCGUCUCUGCCAGUGAAGAAAGAAAACUACAUCAGGCAUAUCAAGGAGACCAGCAGAGUCUCAUCACUGAGUGUGCCCUGCUGACUUAUCAGCUUUUAAAUUGCUGACAAAUGACUAGUUCCUGUAAUGAUCCAGUUCAGGGGGUCCCUACUUGGAGAAACACUGGGAUCCCUCUGGCAGGGUCAUUACUGGAGGUCGUUAAUCACUGAUUUGAUAUUCAAAGCUGAUGGCGAAGUCAAAGCGGGUCAGCGUGCUAAUGGUCAUCAGCAGUGGCAACGACCAAUUUCCCCGGAAUUAUUGUCAGCACAAGCAGCAAUAAGCAGCUCAGAAAAGGCAAUCCUUUAUUUUUACAUGGAAACCAAUAUGAGGUGGGUUGUAUGAGCAGAGUGAACCACUGCCUGACAGGAGGCAGAUCUGCUUCUAAUUGGGAGAAGAGAGAUGCAAUUGUAAUUCUGCAGGCAAGAAAUGUUUCUCAGCUGAGAGCAUCUGCUGUCAUCUUCAAGUGAGGAGUUAAGCCAGGUAACGCUUCUGGUUAGCGUGAGGGAGCUGGUGUUCCCUACAGGUGGAUGGUGAGGAUGAGUCCAUCCUCAUGGCUGGAGAACGGCCCCUGGUGUGGGGCAGAGUCCUGUGUAGCCCAGUUUGGAGGUGGUGUUGUGAGUUCUUGAAGUCAUUGCUUGGCUCUUUCAUGGGAGCAUGCUGCCUAGAAAGGCUGCAAAUUCACCUACUUUCUGGCCAUCCCAGAGAUACCUCAUGAACAAAAGGCAGGUUCCUGGUGCUUUUCUCCAGUCCCACAUAUGGUAUGGAGGCACACAAAGAGUGCAGGCUGCUGGUCUGGCAUGUGGGCAAUUUGCUGUGAACCCUCUCUUUUAUGUCCUGUAGUGCUCUGUUACAGAAGCUCGA